AUUGAACGCUGGCGGCAGGCCUAACACAUGCAAGUCGGGCGAGCGCCGGACGGGUGAGUAAUGUAUGGGGAUCUGCCUGAUGGAGGGGGAUAACUUCUGGAAACGGUAGCUAAUACCGCAUACCAUCAGAUGCACCCAUAUGGGAUUAGCUUGUAGGUAAGGUAACGGCUUACCUAGGCGACGAUACCUAGCUGGUCUGAGAGGAUGAUCAUCCACACUGGGACGGAGACACGGCCCAGACUCCUACGUCAGGCAGCAGUGGGGAAUAUUGCACAAUGGGCGCAAGCAUAAUUCAGACAUGCCGCGUGUAUGAAGAAGGCCUUCGGGUUGUAAAGUACUUUCAGUCGGGAGGCGUUACCGACAGAAGAAGCACCGGGUAACUCCGUGCCAGCAGCCGCGGUAAUAC
rnacentral:rRNA from 1 species